rnacentral:rRNA from 1 species
GUCCAGACUCCUACGGGAGGCAGCAGUGGGGAAUAUUGCACAAUGGGGGAAACCCUGAUGCAGCGACGCCGCGUGAGCGAUGAAGUAUUUCGGUAUGUAAAGCUCUAUCAGCAGGGAAGAAGAUGACGGUACCUGACUAAGAAGCCCCGGCUAACUACGUGCCAGCAGCCGCGGUAAUACGUAGGGGGCAAGCGUUAUCCGGAUUUACUGGGUGUAAAGGGAGCGUAGACGGCGAUGCAAGCCAGAUGUGAAAGCCCGGGGCUCAACCCCGGGACUGCAUUUGGAACUGUGUGGCUGGAGUGUCGGAGAGGCAGGCGGAACUCCUAGUGUAGCGGUGAAAUGCGUAGAUAUUAGGAGGAACACCAGUGGCGAAGGCGGCCUGCUGGACGAUGACUGACGUUGAGGCUCGAAAGCGUGGGGAGCAAACAGGAUUAGAUACCCUAGUAC